AUAUCAAGAGACCCAUUUAAAACUCUUCAUAUUUAAGGCCGACUUAAAUUUUCUCGGCGAAAAAACAACAAGUAACCAGCACUAACAGCAAUUUGUGAAAUCAAACAAAUCCAAAACGGUGCACUUCUGAAUAUUUUUGCACCAUCUUCGAACCUCCAUGAUGUCAAAUCUAAAAAGACGAGUCCAGGACCAAGUCGAUUUGGUGCGGUUGCCCUUGCUAACAUUGAAGUCAACGUUCCGAUAAUUUGUCCAGCAAUUAGAGUUGUAGCAAUGUGCCUUCUAGUAAGUGUCUGCAAUAAAAUCAUUCCAACCCCAACACCUUGUACCGAAUCUAAGACACCCAGCCAAAUCCAUAAGAUUCGACCAACAAUUGGACCAGCUACUCCAGCCCAUGGAAGAUAAACCCCUAUAUUGCUAGUGCCCCACAUCAUUUGCAACCAUCGGGGAGAUCCCAGUCCUACCCCAAAAACCGGCAGAAGCCAAGAAUGGGUAAGCGACUUUCGUCCGAGAAACAUCAACAUAAUGAUCCACAUGCUCAAGAACAAAAAAAAUGCUAUAGUCAGCAUUUUCCAUGGAGCUAACAAUGAACCACCCCAGAGAUAUUUCCACGAUCUACCAUAUAAGGUAGAUAGCCAGUAAUUUUGAAGUAUUGUUGCAACGAAGAACCAGAGAACAAGUUUUCUCCUUAAUAGGGCAGUAUAAAAUGCAGGAAUAUUUCCAGGACUUUCCCAAUAAUAAUCUGGCAGACCGAAAAUCAACAAAAUGGCGAAUAGUAACAUCACUAAAGCGAGUGGCCAAGAAAAAACAGCUAUUAAACCCAAGGGAUAUACUUCAUGUGGAAACGAAUGACAUUCUUGCAUCGACCGAUCAAUAUAGGAUCCCCAGUACCAAAGACAACAAGCCCAAAUUUGUUGAAAGCCUUGAACAAUGCAUGCUCUUACGAUCCAAGAUACGACACCGGCACCAGCCUCAUCACCAAAAUUUAACGAAAAAUAAAGUGAUCCACUGGCUGAAGCAACAGCAUAUAUCCAACUGGCAAUGUGACUAAUCCAUAAACGCAAGUACAUAUUUUCAUUGAUAAACGACGAAAUACCGAUUAACAGAAAUGAGGCACAGUAAAGAAGAAAGGGAAGACUAAGGGAUGCUACACUAGGUAGCAUGCGGUAUAAAUACCACCAAAACACAGAUGAAACAGUAUAAAUACUACCUACAAUAUAAAGCUGUGUAGAAAACUGAGCAGAGGAUCCUGAGAGUAAAACAAGUUGAUAAGAUGUUGCAGCCAAAAUUUGGCCAACUGAAAGAAAAAUAGAGUAAACAGGCCAAUCACCAAUUCGCAUUUGCAUAAAACAUUUAAUCCGCAUCGUUCUAUUUUUUAAUAAAAACAAAAAAGAAUUAGGACUUGAACCAUUAAAAUUUCCAAGAGACGUCACAGAGUUAAGGUUCACCUUGGAUCCUAGAAAAUGCUCUGUAUUUAUGAAUUUUUUGUCCUCGUCGUAAAUCAAAAGGUUAGGACGUUGAAUUCCGAAACGAAUAUUUCGAAGUCCAUCAUACCACUCUUUCUUCAUUUUCAAUAUAAAGGUUUCAAUACACAGUUCAUUGACAGAAUUUUUUGGAUCUAGUUCUUCUAACUUUUGGGAAAAAUAAUUAAGAGCUCGACCAUUAUCGUCCGUAAAAUCGUUUUCAGUUUUUGUCAGCGCAAACUCCUUAUUCAAAUUCAUACUUAUAACAGAGUCUAAACUUAAUUGGGACUCAUUUAGGUUCCUUACAACCUGGUUGAUCGGGCUUCUAUGGUGAACAGAGCUGAUUGUUUCUAAAACAGAAUCACUGUUUUCCGGAUGGCCAUCGCUAGACCGCAGGUCCUCACUUGACAUGACAAAAGAACUUAAACGAUCGUUGCGCACGUUUAUAUCGGAUGACACUUGAAGAUCUGGGAACCCAUCAACGGAGGUAUCUUGAAAUAUGUCAGAAGUGCUAGUAUCUAAUUGAGAAUAAAACUCGUUAUAUUCUAUAUCUUGAUCAUUUGUUUCCAAUUCUUGAGACAAAUCAGUUGCUUUGUAAUGACCAGGUCCUCCAACAGAACCCAUAGAAGAUUUGUUAAACAAAAAGAGGCUUCCAACAUUCGGUUCAUUUGGAGGUGCUUUAUCUUUCAAUUCGUUUUCUUCGUUUUCCAAACCUUCCUUCGUAGAUAGUUUAAUACUGGAAAGGUCAUUUUUACUUCUAAACUUCAUAGAAUGUGAAGAGGAACCUUGUUGUCUUUGACCGACAUUUAGACGUAUACAAUUGUCCAUAAGGUGAUCUAGUUUAGAAAUCCAUUCUAAAACAGGAAACCGUUGCUUGGCUGACUUCGCACGAAGCAAUGCCCGUUUUUCAGCAGAAGAACUAAGGGCCUUCCUACAAGCUUCUUCAAACUGUUGCAAAACAUGAGACGUCGCAUUCGAUUCAACUGAAUACCACCAUCCAGGCAUUUGACCCAAACCACCAACACGAGCUCCUAUUCCUAGUGCGCCUUUUCUACCAAACUCAACAGCAACUAACCCAAAGGGUUCAUCUCGAGAAGGGAUCAAGACAAAGUCAGCUCCACUAAAUAUGCAAGGUGGUAAAUGCGUAAAUUCUGGUCUACAAUAAACCCGCUUCGGAUACUUUUUCAUAAGAGCAUUCAAUUUCUCAGCAGCAAAUUUGCCAUACAGGUCAAUUAUUGGACCUAUUGUAAUGAGUUGAGCAUUAAAAUCUUGCAACAGAGUAGGUGCAAUGUCAGCAAUUAAGUCUAUACCCUUCUGCAUGGACCACCUACCUACAAAUACCAGCAGAUCAGCGGAGUCAUCAAGUUCCAAAUUCGUCCAUUUUUGUGCGUCUCUUUUAAACGCUCUUUUCUCUGCUUCGGCCGUUAAAUCAAUAGUGAUUUCUUCAGUAAUAUUCGUGGGAUCAUCCAACUGAGCAGUAUCUAGUGGAUCUGGAUUAGGGAGUUUUCCUACCUUUUUUAAUCCCCAGAAUAUGGGAUACCGAGCUUUUGAGCGUUUCCCGUACUUAUUAGAAACCCCAACUACUCCAUAUCCUUUUUGAUGAAUACGAAUAUAUGAAACUCCUGCAUGAAGUAAAUUGAAAACAUUUCCGAAUUGAAUGUAUUUAGUACAUAUUUUCGUGGAAAUGUUGUAUACCGCACAAACUUCGUUUUUCUCGGCUUGAGUGCGAAGCGGCCAUAAACCUUGGAAUUCAGCAUUAUGAAGCGACAACACGCAUGGAAUGACAUUUGGAAGAAGAUAACAUGGAGCUAACGCACCAUGAUAAUCGUUUAUAUGGUAAACGUCUAUCGGAUAUCGUCUAAUUAUUCCGGCUAUACACUGAUUCCAAGCUGAAUAGAAAAUGGCAGAACUCAAAUCGUCCAUUCUAGCAGGGUACGGUUCAGCAGACGUUUGCUUUCUAAAGACUGGAGCCUCUAACAGAAUAUAGGUAAUGUUGCGUAAGUUAUGAGAAUAAACUCUCACUUCAUAAACCUGAUCAAGGACUACAACCUCCAAAGGUGCUAAUUCUUGUCCGUCAGGAUAGUUUACAUCUCCAACACGUGGAACCACCCAAAUAAGAUCAUGGUGUGUUAAGUGUUUACCCAUGAGUUCUGCCAUUACUCCCAGGCCCCCAAUUUUUAUUUUUAUAUCCCAGUCAGGUAUAUCAUACUCUAAAGUAGCAACUAGAAUUAAUUUGCGGGAGAUUUUUGGGUGAACACUUUUGACAGAAUUAUUUAAAGCGACUUGAUGAGAAAAUCCUUGAUUGAUAUUUGAUUGACUUAUUCUGCUGAAUGGGCCCAAUAAUUUUUCUUUCCAUUCUUGCUUUUUUUCUAUCCCUUUAUUAAGUCUUACUUGAUAAAAAAAUUUUUGAAAAGCGAGCAUAGUUGCUAAAGCACAUAUCAAAGGUGAUACUAAAAAAAGAGAAAACAAAAUAAUGGAUACAGUUGAUGAGCCUCUAGGUAUAAGGUGAUAAGUUCUUGUCAAGUCGCUUAUGAUAAUUUCCCAAGUUAAAAAGUUAGAUGGUGGUGCUUCUUUUAUCCAUGUCACACUUUCUUUUAAUUCUGACGGAGGUAGACGUACAAGUACAGUACUGUUGCCAAUAGUACCAUAAACUUUCUUUUGGUCAGGCAUCCCAGAUUCAUCAAAGUUGUACACAUUAAACUGAAACUUCGUAGGAAAAACAUCACUUAUAAAGGUCUUGUGCCAUGAGCAAUUUUUGUAUAUUAAGCGAUUGGGUAUACCAGAAUCAAAUCCCCAUUGAUUAUAAGGUCCAUUCAUAUAUAAAUGAGGAAAUGAACUCAAGCUACCUAGCCCACCUUCUUGAAUGUAAUUCGCAGAUGCCGUCAAACGACUCCAGUAUUGAACAAUAACAUGAUGACCUUUCCAGGUUUUCAGGCUAAUGUUAUUAGCAAACUCAGUACACUCAGUUUUAUUUGACAAGUAAUCGAUCCAUUCACUCCAAUGAAGUCCAUAAUCGAACGAAAAUCGGAAUAGAUCAGCACCUGGGGCUUUGUGGUUUAUAUAUAACUUCUCAUUUUCUUGUGAUAAUAUACUAGAAGAUCGAUUGGCAGUUGAGAAUACCAUUGGAUUAUCCAAUUUACCAAAUCUUAAUAAGAGUUUAUACAUGGAAUCACUCAUACUUUGAUGAUCUUGUGAAUGAACCCGUUGGAGCUUUAUUUCAUGAAUCCCAUCAGCAAUGUUAAUUAAGUCGCCUGACCAGUGAAAUCGAGCUGGCGCAAGUCCAAAAUAGUAACUAUCUGCAGAAUUAUUUGAAACUGAGCAUUUCACAGUUUCUUUAUCAACUUUCAUGACUUUACCACUUUCUGUUUUCGAACUGAAUUGCAAUUUGGAUGUUAUUUC